AACGUAGGUGGCGAGCGUUAUCCGGAUUCAUUGGGCGUAAAGAGCUUGUAGGCGGCGUCAUAAGUUGGACGUGAAAACUCCGGGCUUAACUUGGAGAGGCCGUUCAAUACUGUGAGGCUAGAGGGUGUCAGAGGGAAGUAGAAUUCCUGGUGUAGCAGUGAAAUGCGUAGAUAUCAGGAGGAAUACCCGUGGCGAAGGCGGCUUCCUGGGGGCACCACUGACGCUGAGAAGCGAAAGCUAGGGGAGCAAACGGG
rnacentral:rRNA from 1 species